AUAAAUCUGAGAAACGUGAGUUUGUCAUCAUUUUUUAUCUAGACAUAGGAUAGGUUGUGUGAAAAUAUUACUGAUGUUUAACGUUAAAAAUGGACCAAAAGAUUAAUGCUAAACAACAUUUGACAUGUUUGAACGAACAUAAAUAGAUUAUUUACUAGGUUUUUUAGCUUUUCGGCGUGAUUUUACCAGCCCCCCAACCACGUUUUGUGGGAGCAUAAUGAACGCUAAGUACUUGGUGUUAUUUGGACAUAAAUUAUGAACUUUGUCAAAAGAAACCACAUUUGUUCCGGACCUGGAAUGCCUUCCGGACCUGGGAUCCUGCCUUCUGAUGGAGAUAAUCAAAGCCGUGACAGAAUCACCCACCACCAAAGGACCAAGCAGCAGAGGAAGGAGCAGACGGAGUUCGAGUUGGACUGGCGGGAGAAGUGGACUUGGGAGGAAGUUCUGGACGGGGCCGGACCCUGGCAUCAGGCUGGGGAUUAUCGACGCCCGCAGGGGGAAAUUGAGGCAGCCAAGGCAGAGAGGCGGUGGUACGAGGCCAAGUACGCGCUGAAGGAGAAGCACGAGAGGCACCCCAAGAAAAUUUUGGGGGGGGCACACGGGUAGUUUGGCUAGGCGUAAGAAGAGCCGGAAGCCAGCUACUCGUGGUUAUAUGGAGGAGCGUAUGGGGUGGAGAGCGCUAUGUUUCGCUGAG
rnacentral:lncRNA from 1 species